rnacentral:rRNA from 1 species
UGUAAGCGUAUACCAAAGUUGUUGCAGUUAAAACGCUCGUAGUCGGAAUUUGGCAGUUCCGGAUGUGUGCACGUCGUGUGCGCACUUCGCGGGGAUUGCUUUUGUGGUCUUGCGUAGGAUGAGGCACUUUUAUUAGUGAACGUCCUCACGCAACCACUUUUUACUGUGAGAAAAUCAGAGUGCUCAAAGCAGGCAUUUGCCGUGAAUGUAUUAGCAUGGAAUAAUAGAAUAGGACUUGGUUCUAUUUUGUUGGUUUGUUGGGACUGAGUAAUGAUUAAGAGGGACAGUUGGGGGCAUUUGUAUUUCGGUGCUAGAGGUGAAAUUCUUAGAUUACCGAAAGACAAACUGCUGCGAAAGCGUCUGCCAAGGAUGUUAUCAUUGA